GAUCAUGGCUCAGGAUGAACGCUGGCGGCGUGCCUAAUACAUGCAAGUCGAACGCUUCACAUAUGUGAAGAGUGGCGAACGGGUGAGUAAUACAUAAGUAACCUGGCCUUUACAGGGGGAUAACUGUUGGAAACGAUAGCUAAGACCGCAUAGGUGUGGUAACCGCAUGGAGAUGACAUGAAAUAUGCUACGGCAUAGGUAGAGGAUGGACUUAUGGCGCAUUAG
rnacentral:rRNA from 1 species